rnacentral:rRNA from 1 species
UACGCAGGGGGCAAGCGUUGUCCGGAAUCAUUGGGCGUAAAGCGCGUGUAGGCGGUUACGUAAGUCUGCUGUGAAAGUCGGAGGCUCAACCUUCGAAAGCCGGUGGAUACUGCGUGACUAGAGUACGGAAGAGGAGAGUGGAAUUCCUGGUGUAGCGGUGAAAUGCGCAGAUAUCAGGAGGAACACCAACGGCGAAGGCAGCUCUCUGGGACGUUACUGACGCUGAGACGCGAAAGCGUGGGGAGCAAACAGG